rnacentral:rRNA from 1 species
AUUGAACGCUGGCGGCAGGCCUAACACAUGCAAGUCGAGCGAGUGGCGGACGGGUGAGUAAUAUAUCGGAAGUGCCCAGUAGCGGGGGAUAACUACUGGAAACGGUAGCUAAUACCGCAUACUAUCGGAUAACCCAUAUGGGAUUAGCUAGUAGGUGAGGUAAUGGCUCACCUAGGCGACGAUCCCUAGCUGGUCUGAGAGGAUGAUCAGCCACACUGAGACUGAGACACGGCCCGGACUCCUACGGAGGCAGCAGUGGGGUAUAUUGCACAAUGGGCGCAAGCCUGAUGCAGCCAUGCCGCGUGUAGUAAGGAGGCCCUGGGGUUGUAAAGUACUUUCAGUCGGGAGGCGUUACCGACAGAAGAAGCACCGGCUAACUCCGUGCCAGCAGCCGCGGUAAUAC